UCUACACGAUUCACGUGGAUGAUAUAUUUUGAUUCAAAACGGCAAAAUUUCGCCGAAAAGCGACAAAUUUGCAGGUAUGUAAGUAUCAAGCCAGACCUUUUCUUAUUAGAGUAUGUCUGACUACUGUGUGGACGUAGAUUGCUUUCAUUUUAAAACCUGUUUUAAAUGGAAGCAUAGCAGUGUGGAUGCAGCUUCAGUCUCUCCUGAAAUGCAAAUUUGCAACACUCAUUAUAAACACCUAAUAGCUGUUUAUUAAGUUAUAAUUGAUAAGUUCAACAGUAUCAGAUUAUGCAACUAGUAGAAGCUCCUGCUGUACAUGAAUACAGGUUGCUCUAUAUACUGUCCUCUGGUCUAUAGCAACACCUGAAGGCCAGAGACGAAACUGCAGACUGAGAUGAACUCACCUGUACCACCAGAUCGCCUAGGAAACAGCAACAGGAAGGAAACUUGAGUCUUCUGACCACUCAAAGCUCUUUAACAUGACAUCAUUCACCUAUUCACACCCUGAUGGGAGGAGCUACCUUGGAUGUUUUGUCCAAGGACACAUCGACAUGGACCAGCAGAGCCGGGGAUUGAACCGCCGAUCCUCUGAUUGAAGGAUGACCCUGCUCUCCCACUGACCCAACGUCGCCUAAUAAGGUUAGCUAGCAAAGCCUCAGAUGUCCGUGUCCGCUCUGCAUCGCCAACACAUCCCAGGUUGCCAAAAUGACCUGGCCCAGCUCCGGCGUAAGCUCGGCAUGCCGGAAGAAACACGUCGGGCAGAGUCCGGUUGCCGACUCCGCUGAGACUUGGGAUGAAUUAUGCGCCAGAAUCAGGCCAAAUACAACGGACUGAUUCCGGCUGCCGACACUGCUAUUAUUGGGAUUGCAGUGACGCUGCUGCUCGCACACAUCCACGAACGUACGUAAAUUGAGAUAAAAAACAGCAGCAGCCGCCUUCAAAAUAA